rnacentral:rRNA from 1 species
ACGCUAUCUGGAGGUUACCGCGGCUGCUGGCACGGAGUUAGCCGGUGCUUCUUCUGUGAGUGAUGUCCUUCCUAGCCGGUCUAUUAACCCGCAGGCCUUCUUCCUCACUGAAAGUGCUUUACAACCCGAAGGCCUUCUUCACACACGCGGCAUGGCUGGACUCAGGGUUGCCCCCAUUGUCCAAUAUUCCCCGACUGCUGCAUCCCGUAGGAGUCUGGGCCGUGUCUCAGUCCCAGUGUGGCUGAUCAUCCUCUCAGACCAGCUACGGAUCGUCGCCCUUGGUGAGCCGUUAACCUCACCAACCAGCUAAUCCGACAUAGGCUCAUCCGAUAGCGCGAGGCCCGAAGGU